rnacentral:ncRNA from 1 species
UUGUCAGGACUUCACAUGUCACGAAUCCUCUUGAAAGAGGGGGUGCCUCCGGGAAUACGGAGACAGGUGGUAGGUGGUGCAUGGUUGUCGUCAGCUCGUGCCAUAAGGUAUUGAGUUAAGUCCCCCAGCGAGCACAACUCUCAUAUUUAGUUUUCAACAUUUAGUUUGAAACCCUAAACACCGAGGAAGAUGAGAAUGAUGUCAAGUCAUGAUGCCUUCAACAUUUUGA